rnacentral:tRNA from 1 species
GCCCGGGUGGCGAAACUGGUAGACGCAAGGGACUUAAAAUCCCUCGGCCUAAUGGCUGUCCCGGUUCGACUCCGGGCCCGGGCACCA